UGUAAGUGCGCUAAUAUCGUGCUUAUUUGACAAAGGCUCCAAAGGAAGCCACGGCUAACUCUGUGCCAGCAGCCGCGGUAAUACAGAGGUGGCGAGCGUUGUUCGGAAUUAUUGGGCGUAAAGAGCACGUAGGUGGGUUUGCAAGUCAGAUGUGAAAGCCUUCUGUUCAACGGGAGAAUUGCAUCUGAAACUGCUAAUCUUGAGUAUAGGAGGGG
rnacentral:rRNA from 1 species